rnacentral:rRNA from 1 species
AAGCGUAUACGGUGGAUGCCUUGGCAGUUAGAGGCGAUGAAGGACGUGUAAGUCUGCGAAAAGCUGUGGUGAGCCGACAAAAUGCAUUUGAGCCACAGAUGUCCGAAUGGGGAAACCCACCUGUUUACAGGUAUCGUUAACUGAAUACAUAGGUUAACGAGGCAAACGAGGGGAACUGAAACAUCUAAGUACCCUGAGGAAAAGAAAUCAACCGAGAUUCCCCUAGUAGCGGCGAGCGAACGGGGAGCAGCCCUUAAGCUGUUUAGAAUUUAGUGGAAUCCUUUGGGAAGAGGAGCGAUACAAGGUGAUAGCCCUGUACACGACGGAUUCUUUACAGUGAAAUCGAGUAGGUCGGGACACGUGUUAUCUUGACUGAAUAUGGGGGGACCAUCCUCCAAGGCUAAAUACUCCUAACUGACCGAUAGUGAACCAGUACCGUGA